rnacentral:sRNA from 1 species
GAUAUAAGGGUCAUAAGUACAAACCCUGUUCGUGCUUGCACGAAAAAGGGUUUGUAUUUAUGACCCGCCCACACAUGAGCAAGUAGUGAUUUUCCAUGGAAAAUCAACGGAUUGCGAAUGUGUGGAGAAUUGAUAAGCUGCAAAGCAGCGCAUCAAUUCGU